rnacentral:lncRNA from 1 species
GGUAGUGGCUGAAUAGUGUCAUGUUUUUAGAGAGAGGCUAGUAUUUGAAUGGUUUCAUGUUUUUAGAGCGAGGCUAGUAUUUGAAUGGUUUCAUGUUUUUAGAGGCUAGUAUUUCAAUGGUGUCAUGUUAUUAGAGAGGCUAGUAUUUCAAUGGUUUCAUGUUUUUAGAGCGAGGCUAGUAUUUCAAUGGUUUCAUGUUUUUAGAGAGAGAUGCUAGUAUUUCAAUGGUGUCAUGUUUUUAGAGAGAGGCUAGUAUUUCAAUGGUUUCAUGUUUUUAGAGAGAGAUGCUAGUAUUUCAAUGGUUUCAUGUUUUUAGAGAGAGGCUAGUAUUUCAAUGGUUUCAUGUUUUUAGAGCGAGGCUAGUAUUUCAAUGGUUUCAUGUUUUUAGAGCGAGGCUAGUAUUU